rnacentral:rRNA from 1 species
UACGAAGGGGGCUAGCGUUGCUCGGAAUCACUGGGCGUAAAGCGCACGUAGGCGGCUUUCUAAGUCAGGGGUGAAACUCCGGAGCUCAACUCCGGAACUGCCUUUGAUACUGGAGAGCUUGAGUUCGGGAGGAUGGUGAGUGGAACUGCGAGUGUAGAGGUGAAAUUCGUAGAUAUUCGCAAGAACACCAGUGGCGAAGGCGGCUCACUGGCCCGAUACUGACGCUGAGGUGCGAAAGCGUGGGGAGCAAACAGGG